GAUGAACGCUGGCGGCGUGCCUAAUACAUGCAAGUCGAGCGAACAGACGAGGAGCUUGCUCCUCUGACGUUAGCGGCGGACGGGUGAGUAACACGUGGAUAACCUACCUAUAAGACUGGGAUAACUUCGGGAAACCGGAGCUAAUACCGGAUAAUAUAUUGAACCGCAUGGUUCAAUAGUCAAAGACGGUUUUGCUGUCACUUAUAGAUGGAUCCGCGCCGCAUUAGCUAGUUGGUAAGGUAACGGCUUACCAAGGCGACGAUGCGUAGCCGACCUGAGAGGGUGAUCGGCCACACUGGAACUGAGACACGGUCCAGACUCCUACGGGAGGCAGCAGUAGGGAAUCUUCCGCAAUGGGCGAAAGCCUGACGGAGCAACGCCGCGUGAGUGAUGAAGGUCUUCGGAUCGUAAAACUCUGUUAUUAGGGAAGAACAAAUGUGUAAGUAACUAUGCACGUCUUGACGGUACCUAAUCAGAAAGCCACGGCUAACUACGU
rnacentral:rRNA from 1 species